CGCUCCGCUUUGGUCCACUUCUGCCUUCUUCUUCCGACAAGAGUCGUGACAUCAGCUCUCUCCCUGUCUUAUCUCUCAGUUGGUUUAUCUAGUCUGUGUCAGGAUGUCACUCAUAUUACUGUUGCUCCUCUCAGCGUUUGUAGGUGAUAGUAUGGAGCAGGAAACAAUAACUCCAGUGAAAC